rnacentral:rRNA from 1 species
UACGUAGGGGGCGAGCGUUAUCCGGAUUCACUGGGUGUAAAGGGAGCGUAGACGGCCGAUCAAGUCUGGAGUGAAAGCCCGGGGCCCAACCCCGGGACUGCUCUGGAAACUGGUGGGCUAGAGUGCUGGAGAGGUAAGCGGAAUUCCUAGUGUAGCGGUGAAAUGCGUAGAUAUUAGGAGGAACACCAGUGGCGAAGGCGGCUUACUGGACAGUAACUGACGUUGAGGCUCGAAAGCGUGGGGAGCAAACAGG